ensembl:snRNA U6 U6 spliceosomal RNA
GCCCUCAUUGCGGUAACACAUAUACUAAAAUUGGAACUAUACAGAGAAGAUUAGCAAGGCCACUGUGCAAGGAUGACACAAAAAUUCGUUAAGUGAUUCACAUUUUU